rnacentral:rRNA from 1 species
UACGGAGGGUGCGAGCGUUGUCCGGAAUCACUGGGCGUAAAGGGCGCGUAGGUGGCGCGGGCAGUCAACGGUGAAAGUUCGGGGCUCAACCCUGAAUCGGCCGUCGAUACUCCCGGGCUUGAGCACUGUAGAGGCAGAUGGAAUUCCGGGUGUAGCGGUGGAAUGCGUAGAGAUCCGGAAGAACACCGGUGGCGAAGGCGGUCUGCUGGGCAGUAGCUGACGCUGAGGAGCGAAAGCAUGGGGAGCGAACAGG